rnacentral:lncRNA from 1 species
UCGCUCAUCUCCCUACCACCACUCAACUUCUCAUUGUUUCUCUUCCAUCUGCCUCCUUCAACUCCCCCUCCUUUCAAUAUCCAUUUGGCCUCCAGUCACUGUUUCAUACAACUCCACAUUAAAGGCGAUCUCAUCCAUCCUCAACAUUCUCUUCAUUUUUUUAACUUUUUCAUUUCAUCUAGGCAAAGAUCUUUUAUAGACAAGAAUGAAUAGGCAAGAUUUUCAUGUCCCAAGCUCUAUCAUCUACUGAGCUCCAACAUCCAAUCUAUGAGGUAACUAGAAACUAUUUGUUAAAAUAUUUGUUAGAAAUUUUCUAU